rnacentral:rRNA from 1 species
GACAGAGGGUGCAAGCGUUGUUCGGAAUUAUUGGGCGUAAAGCGCACGUAGGCGGCGCAGUAAGUCGGGUGUGAAAGCCCGGGGCUUAACCCCGGAAUUGCACUCGAAACUGCUGUGCUUGAGUCCCGGAGAGGGUGGUGGAAUUCCUGGUGUAGAGGUGAAAUUCGUAGAUAUCAGGAGGAACACCCGUGGCGAAGGCGACCACCUGGACGGUGACUGACGCUGAGGUGCGAAAGCGUGGGGAGCAAACAGG